rnacentral:rRNA from 1 species
GUCUCUUCGGGGAUGAUUAAACCGGCGCACGGGUGAGUAACACGUGAGUGACCUGCCUUUUAGACUGGAACAACUUACCGAAAGGUGAGCUAAUGCCGGAUGAGUUAUAUAAGUGCAUGUUUAUAUAGGAAAAGUUGGGGAGACCUGACGCUGAAAGAUGGACUCGCGUCCCAUUAGCUAGUUGGUAGGGUAAUGGCCUACCAAGGCGACGAUGGGUAGCCGGCCUGAGAGGGUGGCCGGCCACACUGGGACUGAGACACGGCCCAGACUCCUACGGGAGGCAGCAGUGGGGAAUUUUGCGCAAUGCUCGUAAGAGUGACGCAGCGACGCCGCGUGAAUGACGAAGGCCUUCGGGUCGUAAAGUUCUUUCGACAGGGAAGAAAAUGCCUAUAAGUAACUGUGUAUGUAUUGACGGUACCUGUAUAAGCAGCCCCGGCUAACUCCGUGCCAGCAGCCGCGGUAAUACGGAGGGGGCGAGCGUUGUUCGGAGUGACUGGGCGUAAAGAGCACGUAGGCGGUGUUGUAAGUCAUUAGUCAAAGACUAGAGCUCAACUUUAGUAAGGCUAGUGAUACUAUAAUACUAGAGUAUCAGAGAGGAUUGCAGAAUUCCUGGUGUAGCGGUGAAAUGCGUAGAUAUCAGGAGGAACACCGUUAGCGAAGGCGGCAAUCUGGCUGGAAACUGACGCUGAGGUGCGAAAGCGUGGGUAGCAAACAGGAUUAGAUACCCUGGUAGUCCACGCUGUAAACGAUGGAUGCU